rnacentral:rRNA from 1 species
UACAGAGGGUGCAAGCGUUAAUCGGAAUUACUGGGCGUAAAGCGUGCGUAGACGGUCAUGUAAGUCGGGUGUGAAAGCCCCGGGCUCAACCUGGGAAUUGCAUUCGAGACUGCAUGGCUAGGAUGCGGAAGAGGGAAGCGGAAUUUCCGGUGUAGCGGUGAAAUGCGUAGAUAUCGGAAGGAAGACCAGUGGCGAAGGCGGGUCUCUGGACAGUUCCUGACGCUGAGGCACGAAGGUCAGGGGAGCAAACGGG